UACGUAGGGGGCUAGCGUUGUCCGGAAUCAUUGGGCGUAAAGAGCGUGUAGGCGGCUUGUUAAGUCUUGCGUGAAAUCUCCUGGCUCAACUGGGAGCUUGCAGGCGAAACUGCCGUGCUGGAGUGUGGGAGAGGUGCGUGGAAUUCCUGGUGUAGAGGUGAAAUUCGUAGAUAUUCGCAAGAACACCAGUGGCGAAGGCGGCUUACUGGACCGGUUCUGACGCUGAGGCGCGAAAGCGUGGGGAGCAAACAGG
rnacentral:rRNA from 1 species